rnacentral:rRNA from 1 species
CCUACGGGUGGCAGCAGUGGGGAAUUUUGCACAAUGGGGGAAACCCUGACGCAGCAACGCCGCGUGCGGGACGAAGGCCCUCGGGUCGUAAACCGCUUUCAGCAGCGAAGACCACGACGGUAACUGCAGAAUAAGCACCGGCUAACUACGUGCCAGCAGCCGCGGUAAUACGUAGGGGGCGAGCGUUAUCCGGAUUCAUUGGGCGUAAAGCGCGCGGAGGCGGGCGCCGAAGCGGAACCGCUAACGCCGGGGCUACACCUCGUGCCGGGUUCCGGACUGGGCGGCUCGAGGGCGGUAGGGGAGAGAGGAAUUCCCGGUGUAGCAGUGGAAUGCGAAGAUAUCGGGAAGAACACCGAUGGCGAAGGCAGCUUUCUGGGCCGGUACUGACGCUGAGGCGCGAAAGCUGGGGGAGCGAACAGGAUUAGAUACCCCUGUAGUC